GCCUGGGUGGCUCAGUCAGUUGAGCAUCUGACUUUGGCUCAGGUCAUUAUGUCAUGAUUUGUGAGUUUAAGCCCCACAUUGGGCU
rnacentral:tRNA from 1 species